GAUGAACGCUGGCGGCGUGCUUAACACAUGCAAGUCGAACGGAAGGGCUCCUGCUUGCAGGGGUACUCGAGUGGCGAACGGGUGAGUAACACGUAGGUGAUCUGCCCUGCACUUCGGGAUAAGCCUGGGAAACUGGGUCUAAUACCGGAUAGGACCACAUUUUGGAGGGUGUGGUGGAAAGUUUUUCGGUGUGGGCUGAGCUCGCGGCCUAUCAGCUUGUUGGUGGGGUAAUGGCCUACCAAGGCGUCGACGGGUAGCCGGCCUGAGAGGGUGUACGGCCACAUUGGGACUGAGAUACGGCCCAGACUCCUACGGGAGGCAGCAGUGGGGAAUAUUGCACAAUGGGCGCAAGCCUGAUGCAGCGACGCCGCGUGGGGGAUGACGGCCUUCGGGUUGUAAACUCCUUUCGCUAGGGACGAAGCGCAAGUGACGGUACCUGGAGAAGAAGCACCGGCUAACUACGUG
rnacentral:rRNA from 1 species